AAGUUCCAGGAUCAGAACCGUAGGGAUCCGGAUGAUCCGGUUUUCUCUUAUAUGCUCCAGUUUCCAUACCAUGACUUGAUAUUGCUACAAAACCAAAUACCCUGGUUUGUGCUUGAAGAUAUUUUUGAUAGGACUGGUGGUAUCAAUGAUAAGCCACUUCUUUGGCAUGUUAGUGCACUUCUUAAACGAAUUUUCCCAAUUGCAUUUGUACCAGCUAAGGGAAAUCUACCCAGCCAACAACCCAAGCAUAUUCUUGACCUCUUGAGGAUAUGGCUGGUUUCCCCGAUUGAAGAAGAAAGAAGGCAAAAUACAGUUGUGCGAAGAGAUGAUGUAUUAGCAAAUGGGGGGUGGAAACCCAUUCCUCCUGCAACAUUUCUUCGGAAGGCUGGAGUCAAACUCAGAAGAAAAUCAAAGGCUGACAGCAUUUUGCAGGUAACAUUUCGAAAUGGCUAUCUGGAAAUCCCCCCUCUUGAAU
rnacentral:misc_RNA from 1 species